rnacentral:tRNA from 5 species
GGCCCUAUCGUCUAUCGGUUAGGACACCAGGUUUUCAUCCUGAUAAGCAGAGUUCGACUCUCUGUGGGGUCA